GACGAACGCUGGCGGCGUGCUUAACACAUGCAAGUCGAGCGGUAAGGCCCUUCGGGGUACACGAGCGGCGAACGGGUGAGUAACACGUGGGUGACCCGCCUCUAGCUCUGGGAUAAGCCUGGGAAACUGGGUCUAAUACCGGAUAUGACUCCACGGCGCAUGUUGUGGGGUGGAAAGCCUUGUGUGGCUAGAGAUGGGCCCGCGGCCUAUCAGCUUGUUGGUGGGGUGANGGCCUACCAAGGCGACGACGGGUAGCCGGCCUGAGAGGGCGACCGGCCACACUGGGACUGAGACACGGCCCAGACUCCUACGGGAGGCAGCAGUGGGGAAUCUUGCGCAAUGGGCGAAAGCCUGACGCAGCGACGCCGCGUGAGGGAUGACGGCC
rnacentral:rRNA from 1 species